rnacentral:other from 1 species
GCGGAAAGCGUCUAGCCAUGGCGUUAGUACGAGUGUCGUGCAGCCUCCAGGCCCCCCCCUCCCGGGAGAGCCAUAGUGGUCUGCGGAACCGGUGAGUACACCGGAAUCGCCGGGAUGACCGGGUCCUUUCUUGGAACAACCCGCUCAAUGCCCGGAAAUUUGGGCGUGCCCCCGCGAGAUCACUAGCCGAGUAGUGUUGGGUCGCGAAAGGCCUUGUGGUACUGCCUGAUAGGGUGCUUGCGAGUGCCCCGGGAGGU